AGGCCCUUCGGGGUACUCGAGCGGCGAACGGGUGAGUAACACGUGAGCAACCUGCCCCUAGCUCUGGGAUAGCUCCGGGAAACCGGGAUUAAUACCAGAUACGACCACUUUAGACAUCUGCUGUGGUGGAAAGGAUUCCGGCUAGGGAUGGGCUCGCGGCCUAUCAGCUUGUUGGUGGGGUAACGGCCUACCAAGGCGACGACGGGUAGCCGGCCUGAGAGGGCGACCGGCCACACUGGGACUGAGACACGGCCCAGACUCCUACGGGAGGCAGCAGUGGGGAAUAUUGCGCAAUGGGCGAAAGCCUGACGCAGCGACGCCGCGUGGGGGAUGAAGGCCUUCGGGUUGUAAACCCCUUUCAGCAGGGACGAAGCGAGAGUGACGGUACCUGCAGAAGAAGCGCCGGCUAACUACGUGCCAGCAGCCGCGGUAACACGUAGGGCGCAAGCGUUGUCCGGAAUUAUUGGGCGUAAAGAGCUCGUAGGCGGUCUGUUGCGUCCGCUGUGAAAUCUCGGGGCUUAACCCCGAGCCUGCAGUGGAUACGGGCAGACUAGAGGUAGGUAGGGGAGAAUGGAAUUCCCGGUGUAGCGGUGAAAUGCGCAGAUAUCGGGAGGAACACCGGUGGCGAAGGCGGUUCUCUGGGCCUUACCUGACGCUGAGGAGCGAAAGCGUG
rnacentral:rRNA from 1 species